GACAGAGGGUGCAAACGUUGUUCGGAAUUACUGGGCGUAAAGCGUGUGUAGGCGGCCAUGAAAGUCGGAUGUGAAAGCCCCGGGCUCAACCCGGGAAGUGCACCCGAUACUCCUUGGCUUGAGUACCGGAGAGGUUGGUGGAAUUCUCGGUGUAGAGGUGAAAUUCGUAGAUAUCGAGAGGAACACCGGUGGCGAAGGCGGCCAACUGGACGGAUACUGACGCUGAUACACGAAAGCGUGGGGAGCAAACAGG
rnacentral:rRNA from 1 species